rnacentral:rRNA from 1 species
UACGGGGGGGGCAAGCGUUGUUCGGAAUUACUGGGCGUAAAGGGCUCGUAGGCGGCCAACUAAGUCAGACGUGAAAUCCCUCGGCUUAACCGGGGAACUGCGUCUGAUACUGGAUGGCUUGAGUUUGGGAGAGGGAUGCGGAAUUCCAGGUGUAGCGGUGAAAUGCGUAGAUAUCUGGAGGAACACCGAUGGCGAAGGCAGGUCUCUGGGCCACUACUGACGCUGAGAAGCGAAAGCAUGGGGAGCGAACAGG